rnacentral:rRNA from 1 species
UUAAGCAUAUCAAUAAGCGGAGGAAAAGAAACUAACAAGUAUUCCCUCAGUAACGGCGAGCGAAGUGGGAAGAGCUCGAGCCUGAAAUCUCUGGCAGUCGCUGUCAGCGAAUUGUGGCCGGGAGAGACAGCCUAAGCUCCGACCGGCGCUGUCGAAGUUGACCUGGAAAGGCACGUCGCAGAGGGUGAGAGCCCCGUGUGCGGCACCGCCGGGCGGAGUUGCUACUGUCUUCGGAGAGUCGGGUUGUUUGGGAAUGCAGCCCAAAGUGGGUGGUAAACUCCAUCUAAAGCUAAAUACUGGCACGAGACCGAUAGCAAACAAGUACCAUGAGGGAAAGGUGAAAAGCACUUUGAAAAGAGAGUCAAAAAGACCGCGAAACCGUUAGGAGGGAAACGAAUGCGGCUGAAUCGGCACUCCGUCAGGCUCAGGAGACGUUGGUGGCCAUUCCCUGGCGGCGACAGCUUCGGCGUCGUCGUCGGGAUACGUCGCCAUCUCCUCUGCAUUCCUGCGGAGCGCCGGCCAACGACGGUCGAUCCUGGCUCAGAAGGGUGCGUCGGGUAGGUGGCCCUCUCCGGAGGGAACUUAUAGCCGGCCGCCUGGCCAGUCCGGGGCCGACCGAGGAGAGUCGUGAAGUUUCACGCGUGCAGUGCAAGCCCCGUCCGCGGGGCCGCGUCACUUCUGUUCGUUCGGGCAUCGCACCGUGGACUGCGUGCAGUGUCCGGUGUAGGCUGUCUGUUCGUGCGGGAGAACGGCGACGUGUUGCGCUGCGGUCGUUGGUGCUCGAAUGGCCGCAUCCGACCCGUCUU